AACACAACAACAACAGAGACAGCAUUGUUAUUGUUUUACAGACUUCCACAAACUACAUGUCUACAUUAAAUCAGUCUCUUACUGUAACUAAUGGCUCAUCAACUGGUAUCUAAAUCAAUGACCACAUAAUGAACCUAGCUCUCCAGGGCCCUGUCCAGAAAAAAAGCCAUGUACUUCCUCCCUAGACACUUGUAGAGAUGUGAGAGGAUAGGCCAGCCAGGUGUACUCCUCUAACUACUAACUACAUUAGUAACUCACCCCAGGUGUACUCCUCUAACUACACUAGUAACUCACCCCAGGUGUACUCCUCUAACUACUAACUACACUAGUAACUCACCCCAGGUGUACUCCUCUAACUACACUAGUAACUCACCCCAGGUGUACUCCUCUAACUACACUAGUAACUCACCCCAGGUGUACUCCUCUAACUACACUAGUAACUCACCCCAGGUGUACUCCUCUAACUACACUAGUAACUCACCCCAGGUGUACUCCUCUAACUACACUAGUAACUCACCCCAGGUGUACUCCUCUAACUACACUAGUAACUCACCCCAGGUGUAGGUCUUCAUAUACUUCAGGUGGCGGAUUCUGCAGGUGUACUCCUCUAACUACACUAGUAACUCACCCCAGGUGUACUCCUCUAACUACACUAGUAACUCACCCCAGGUGUAGGUCUUCAGAUUCUUCAGGUGACGGACUCUACAGGUGUACUCCUCUCCGCUGGCUGGUGUGAAUCCAACACUCUUGGUGAGGUGGAACUGCCAUCCCUGUUCGAAGGCCAGGUCUGUCUGCUUGGCGUCGGGGAUCUCCACGCCGUUCUUCAGGAGCUGGAUGCUGAUGUCAGGGGGGUGGAA